AAUUCUUUCAAUAUGCAUCAAUUACAGUUUCAGAUAUCUAUCUAUCUAUCUACCUACCUACUUAUGCCUGCUUAGACCUAGUGGGGAGAUCGGCGGAGUUGGCGGCCGAACCCACUGGAAACUAUAUUUAUAUAGUUCUCACCCCACUUUGUUGCAGGGCCUAGCGAAAGAGCACCGGCAGAGAAUCGUGGUAAGGGCAUAGCUAUAACAUACCGAAUUUUGAUAUAAAAAAAAUAAAAAUAAAUAAAAAUAGUGUGAGAUACUAUUUUUAUUGAAUUUAGAGAAGUAAAAUAUAAGUCAGAAUUGGCUUGUGCUGAAAUCGGAAUGAAAACAGGAGAUUUAAAAUUUUCUGUUGAAAACGGGACAGACAAAUUAGCAGAAAAUGCACAGUGUCAGAAAAUUAUGAAAAAUGGAGAAUAAGUCAGAAUUAUUUUUAUGAGGCUAGAUUUAAAGUUUCAUAUCAUUCUGACACCCGAAAGGUGAAAAAUAAAGUUCGAAAGCUAUCUGAUAAAGAUUACGGUUCGGUACAGUUUUCGGUGACCAAACGGGGUCCAAACUGAAAUGUUAAAAUUUUUUUAGACUUAUUAAGUAAAACCGAGCCUGUCUGUCAAAUUUGAGCGCAAACGGACAUUCAGAAGGGCUCCGACAAAAAAUGUCAGUUUUAAACUGCCUAGAGUGAAUAGUAUUUUGGUGUUGACUAAAGAGGAGUGUUGACCUUUUCUUCUU
rnacentral:lncRNA from 1 species